rnacentral:rRNA from 1 species
GAGAGUAACUGCUCGUACCUUGACGGUACCUAACCAGAAAGCCACGGCUAACUACGUGCCAGCAGCCGCGGUAAUACGUAGGUGGCAAGCGUUAUCCGGAAUUAUUGGGCGUAAAGCGCGCGCAGGCGGUUUCUUAAGUCUGAUGUGAAAGCCCACGGCUCACCCGUGGAGGGUCAUUGGAAACUGGGGAACUUGAGUGUCAGAAGAGAAAAGCGGAAUUCCACGUGUAGCGGUGAAAUGCGUAUAGAUGUGGAGGAACACCAGUGGCGAAGGCGGCUUUUUGGUCUGUAACUGACGCUGAGGCGCGAA